GUGACUCGAAGAAGCCUUCCAAAAAGCGUGUGAAAAGGGAGCCCUACUCUACUACCAAGGUGACUUCAGGGAGCACAUUCAAUGAGAAUACAAGAAGAUAUGCUGUGCACACCAACCAGUGUCGGAGACCUCAUGGCUCCCCGGUAAAGAAGAAGAGGUACCCACAAGAAGAUGACUUCCAUCAUACAGUCUUCAGCAACCUUGAAAGAUUGGACAAGCUUCAGCCCACUCUUGAAGCCUCUGAGGAGUCUCUAGUUCACAAGGACAGAGGAGAUGGAGAGAGGCCAGUCAACGCGAGGGUGGUGCAGGUGGCCCCUCUGAGGCGUGAAUCUAACUCCGUAUACGACAUCGCUAAUGAAGAUGCCGUAUAUGACAUCGCUAAUGACACCGUACAAGGCACGCUAACGAGGACGCUGUACACGACAUCGCUAAUGAGGACACCAUACAAGGCAUUGGUAAUGAGGACGCUGUAUAUGACAUCGCUAACAAGGACACCGUACAAGCCAUCGCUAACAAGGACACUGUACACAACAUCGCUAAUGAGGGCACUGUACAAGACAUCACCAAUGAGGGUGCUUUAUACGACAUGGCUAAUAAUACCGACAAGGCACGCUAACGCGGAUGCUGUACACGACAUCGCUAAUGAGGACUCCGUAUACGACAUCGCUAAUGAAGAUGCCGUAUAUGACAUCGCUAAUGACACCGUACAAGGCACGCUAACGAGGACGCUGUACACGACAUCGCUAAUGAGGACACCAUACAAGGCAUUGGUAAUGAGGACGCUGUAUAUGACAUCGCUAACAAGGACACCGUACAAGCCAUCGCUAACAAGGACACUGUACACAACAUCGCUAAUGAGGGCACUGUACAAGACAUCACCAAUGAGGGUGCUUUAUACGACAUGGCUAAUAAUACCGACAAGGCACGCUAACGCGGAUGCUGUACACGACAUCGCUAAUGAGGACUCCGUAUACGACAUCGCUAAUGAAGAUGCCGUAUAUGACAUCGCUAAUGACACCGUACAAGGCACGCUAACGAGGACGCUGUACACGACAUCGCUAAUGAGGACACCAUACAAGGCAUCGGUAAUGAGGACGCUGUAUACGACAUCGCUAACGAAGACAUCGUACAAGCCGUCGCUAACAAGGACACUGUACACAACAUUGCUAAUGAGGGCACUGUACAAGACAUCACCAAUGAGGGCGCUUUAUACGACAUUGCUAAUGACACCAACAAGGCACGCUAACUCGGACUCUGUACACGACAUCGCUAAUGAGGACACCAUAUAAGACAUCGCUAGUAACUAUCACAAGAACAAAAAACCAAACACCGCAUAUUCUCACUCAUAGGUGGGAAUUGAACAAUGAGAUCACAUGGACACAGGAAGGGGAAUAUCACACUCUGGGGACUGUUGUGGGGUGGGGGGAGGGGGGAGGGAUAGCAUCGGGAGAUAUACCUAAUGCUAGAUGACGAGUUAGUGGGUGCAGCGCACCAGCAUGGCACAUGUAUACAUAUGUAACUAACCUGCACAAUGUGCACAUGUACCCUAAAACUUAAAGUAUAAAAAAAAAAAAGAUCGCUAGUGAGCACGCUGUAUACGACAUCGCUAAUGAGGACGCUAUAUAUGACAUCGCUGAUGAGGACGUUGUAUACGACAUCACUAAUGAGGACACCAUACAAGGCAUCGCUAAAGAUGACGCUGUACACAACAUCGCUAAUGAGGACACCAUAUAAGACAUCGCUAAUUAUGACGCUGUAUACGACAUCGCUAAUGACACCGUACAAGGCACGCUAACGAGGAUGCUGUACACAACAUUGCUAAUGAGGACAGUGUACAAGCCAUCGCUAAUGAGGACACUGUAUAUGACAUCGCUAAUGAGGACACUGUACAAGGCAUUGCUAACGAGGACGCUGUACACAACAUCGCUAAUGAGGACACCAUAUAAGACAUCACCAAUGAGGAUGCUGUAUAUGACAUCGCUAAUGACACCGACAAGGCAUGCUAACGAGGACGCUGUAGAUGACAUUGCUUAUAAGGACACCGUACAAGACAUCGCUAACCAGGACACUGUAUACGACAUCGCUAAUGAGGACGUUGUAUAUGACAUCGCUAAUGAGGAUGCUUUACAAGACAUAGCUAAUGAGGUUGCUGUAUAUGACAUCGCUAAUGAGGACAUUGUAUAUGACAUCGCUAAUGAGGACGCUCUAUACGACAUCACCAAUGAGGACGCUGUAUACAACCUCGCUAAUGAGGACGCUGUAUAUGGCAUCGCUAAUGAGGAUGCUGUAUACGAAUUCGCUAAUAAGGACGCUGUAUAUGACAUUGCUAAUGAGGACACUGUACAAGACAUCUGUAAAAAAGAAGAUGCUGCCAAUGAGCCAUUGACACUGGAGAAUGAUACGUACCCUGAAAUAACUCACUUCCUGAGGAAAAAACGCCAUCUCUAGGAUUUGAUUGUGGAGAGCAUAUCUGAUGAUGGGGAUUUGUAGGACUUUAAAAAGCACUCAUGUUUCCAUCCUCACUGUUGCCUCCUGGCUUAAAGGGAUCUCCCGGGGUGAGUGAGGAGGCGGGAUCGGACCCUGGCAGUCUGACGGCAGCACCUGUGUUCCUCUGCACUGGGCCGUGGAUGACAUUACACACCUUGCCACUCUCACGGUCCUGUGUGUUCCGGAUAUUUUAAAAUAAUGGCUAUAAGGUUGAGCACUUCAGGAUAUGCUGUUUUGCUGUGUGCAGAUGGAGGCAGUGGCUGGAGUGAAUGAACGGCAACACUUGCUGGCAACCGGCAGAAGCUGAGAGACAGGGAACAGGCUCUCCUCCAGAGCCUCCAGGAGCCAGGCCUUUGGACACCUUGAAUGUGGGCUUCUGGGAGACCAUGAGUUUCUGUUAUAAGCAGCCCAGUCUCUGGCAGUUUUUACGGCUGCCCCCGAACACUCAUCUACACCUGUCUGACAAGGUCAAGCUCCAAGGAAGGGAUUCUCUACAUAUCUACAUUGUUUGCAGAUUUUACAAUAAUCAUUUAUUCUUGCAUGGCUGAUCAUUGUUAACCAAUACAAAUAAAAUAAUAAAUGACCCACA
rnacentral:lncRNA from 1 species